CCUACGGGGGGCAGCAGUGGGGAAUAUUGGACAAUGGGCGCAAGCCUGAUCCAGCCAUGCCGCGUGAGUGAUGAAGGCCUUAGGGUUGUAAAGCUCUUUUGUCCGGGAAGAUAAUGACUGUACCGGAAGAAUAAGCCCCGGCUAACUUCGUGCCAGCAGCCGCGGUAAUACGAAGGGGGCUAGCGUUGCUCGGAAUCACUGGGCGUAAAGGGCGCGUAGGCGGACUUUUAAGUCGGGGGUGAAAGCCCAGGGCUCAACCCUGGAAUUGCCUUCGAUACUGGGAGUCUUGAGUUCGGAAGAGGUUGGUGGAACUGCGAGUGUAGAGGUGAAAUUCGUAGAUAUUCGCAAGAACACCGGUGGCGAAGGCGGCCAACUGGUCCGAUACUGACGCUGAGGCGCGAAAGCGUGGGG
rnacentral:rRNA from 1 species